GACAGAUUUCAAUGUCUGUUGAAGGCCCCCCCCCCACACCCUCCUUCAGUGCCGGGGGCAUGGAGGGAUAUCUUGGGCUCCUGCUGUUUUUUAAAAUGAUGCGAGCUCAUCUCCUGUCCUGGGUGUGAACGAGUAUAUCUUACCAGGGAUGUAACUGAACAUUUUUUUCUGCAUUGUGUUCCUACUGAGCAACCCAAGAUGGCCAGGAACUGCUCUGAGUGCAAGGAGAAGAGGGCAGCACAUAUCCUCUGCACCUACUGCAAUCGCUGGCUGUGCAGCUCUUGCACAGAGGAACACCGACACAGCCCUGUCCCCGGGGGCCCAUUCUUUCCUCGGGCCCAGAAGGGAUCUCCAGGAGUGAAUGGUGGUCCCGGAGACUUCACCUUGUAUUGUCCUCUACACACACAGGAAGUACUCAAGCUAUUCUGUGAGACAUGUGAUAUGCUCACUUGCCAUAGCUGCCUAGUGGUGGAACACAAAGAACACAGGUGCAGACAUGUUGAAGAAGUUUUGCAAAACCAGAGGAUGCUUCUGGAAGGUGUGACUACACAGGUGGCACAUAAGAAAUCCAGUCUACAGACAUCUGCAAAGCAAAUUGAGGACAGGAUUUUUGAAGUGAAGCAUCAGCAUAGGAAGGUGGAAAACCAGAUCAAAAUGGCCAAGAUGGUUCUGAUGAAUGAGCUGAACAAACAGGCCAAUGGGCUAAUAGAGGAAUUAGAGGGGAUUACUAAUGAGAGAAAGCGGAAGCUGGAACAGCAGUUACAGAGCAUCAUGGUUCUCAACCGUCAGUUUGAGCAUGUGCAGAAUUUCAUCAACUGGGCUGUCUGCAGCAAAACCAGUGUCCCUUUUCUUUUCAGCAAAGAGCUGAUUGUGUUUCAGAUGCAGCGAUUGCUGGAGACAAGUUGUAACACAGAUCCUGGCUCCCCUUGGAGUAUCAGAUUCACCUGGGAGCCUAACUUCUGGACCAAGCAGCUAGCUUCUCUUGGCUGCAUAACUACUGAAGGUGGACAAAUGUCCAGGGCAGAUGCUCCUGCUUAUGGAGGCUUACAGGGGUCAUCACCCUUUUAUCAAAGCCACCAGUCUCCAGUGGCUCAGCAAGAGGCUCUUAGCCACCCCUCACACAAGUUCCAGUCUCCAGCAGUGUGCUCCUCAUCUGUGUGCUGCUCCCACUGCUCCCCAGUCUCGCCUUCCCUCAAAGGCCAGGUCCCCCCACCCAGCAUACACCCAGCCCACAGCUUCAGGCAGCCCUCUGAGAUGGUGCCCCAGCAGCUGGGGUCUCUGCAGUGCUCUGCCCUGCUGCCCAGGGAGAAAGAGCUGGCCUGCAGCCCUCAUCCACCAAAGCUGCUGCAGCCCUGGCUGGAAACCCAGCCCCCUGUGGAGCAGGAGAGCACAUCCCAGCGGCUGGGGCAGCAGCUGACUUCCCAGCCCGUGUGCAUUGUCCCCCCACAGGAUGUUCAGCAAGGAGCCCAUGCCCAGCCCACCUUACAGACACCCUCUAUCCAAGUCCAGUUUGGCCACCACCAGAAGCUGAAGCUCAGUCACUUUCAGCAGCAGCCACAGCAGCAGCUACCACCUCCACCACCACCCCUCCCCCGUCCCCCACCUCCCCUCCCCCCUCCCCCACAGCAGCCACACCCACCUCUUCCUCCAUCCCAGCAUCUGGCUUCUAGUCAGCACGAGAGCCCUCCUGGCCCUGCCUGUUCUCAGAACAUGGACAUAAUGCAUCACAAGUUUGAGCUGGAGGAAAUGCAGAAGGACUUGGAGCUGCUUCUCCAGGCUCAACAGCCCAGCCUGCAACUGAGUCAGACCAAAUCUCCUCAGCAUCUUCAGCAAACCAUUGUGGGGCAGAUCAACUACAUCGUGAGGCAGCCAGCACCUGUCCAGUCCCAGAGCCAGGAGGAGACCCUGCAGGCUACAGAUGAGCCCCCAGCAUCUCAGGGCUCAAAGCCGGCUCUCCCUCUUGACAAGAAUACUGCUGCUGCCUUGCCCCAGGCGUCUGGGGAAGAAACCCCUCUCAGUGUCCCCCCAGUGGACAGCACCAUCCAGCACUCCUCUCCAAAUGUGGUGAGAAAGCACUCCACCUCGGUGAGCAUCAUGGGCUUUUCCAACACUCUGGAGAUGGAGUUGUCGUCUACCAGGUUGGAGAGGCCCCUAGAGCCACAGAUCCAGAGUGUGAGCAACCUGACAGCUGGUGCCCCCCAGGCAGUACCAAGCCUGCUGAGUGCUCCCCGCAAAAUGGUGUCCAGCCUGACAAGUGUUCAAAACCAGGCCAUGCCCAGCCUGACAACCAGUCACCUACAGACUGUGCCCAGCCUUGUGCAUAGCACAUUCCAGUCCAUGCCCAACCUGAUAAGUGACUCCCCUCAGGCUAUGGCAAGCUUGGCAAGUGAUCACCCUCAGGCUGGGCCCAGCCUAAUGUCUGGUCACACCCAGGCUGUGCCGAGUCUGGCAACUUGUCCUCUGCAGAGCAUCCCUCCAGUUUCUGACAUGCAGCCAGAAACUGGGUCCAGCUCCAGUUCUGGCCGAACUUCAGGGAGCCUGUGUCCCGGAGAUGGGGCUGAUCCCUCCCUGGAGAAUGCUCUGUGUAAGGUAAGUCCUGGGGAAAUGCUAUCCAAACUUCCUUUGUUCAUCAAUGGGCAAAAGAUUGGCCACUGGGACCCUUAUUCUGACCUUAGCUUAACAGUUCUGAGACCACUAAUGACAACCAUGUCUGAGUUCUUUGAUUCUUGUCGACAUUUCACUUUUGAAAGAUGGAAAGUGAGGAUUCCACUCGCUUCACUGACUUACUGGGACAAGGUCCCAUAGUCCCCGGUCUGGAUGCUCCCAAGGACUUGGCCAUCCCCUCAGAACUGGAGGAGCCAAUUAACCUCUCUGUGAAGAAACCUCCACUGGCGCCAGUGGUCAGCACGUCUACAGCUCUGCAGCAGUACCAGAACCCAAAAGAGUGUGAGAAUUUUGAACAAGGAGCCCUAGAGCUGGAUGCAAAAGAGAACCAGAGCAUCAGAGCCUUCAAUAGUGAGCAUAAGAUUCCCUAUGUGCGACUGGAGCGACUCAAGAUCUGUGCUGCCUCCUCAGGAGAGAUGCCUGUGUUCAAACUGAAGCCACAGAAGAAUGAUCAGGAUGGGAGCUUCCUGCUGAUCAUCGAGUGUGGCACUGAGUCCUCCAGCAUGUCCAUUAAGGUCAGCCAGGACAGACUGUCUGAGGCCACCCAGGCCCCAGGUCUGGAGGGAAGAAAGGUCACUGUCACUUCUUUGGCUGGGCAGCGGCCACCAGAAGUGGAGGGCACAUCUCCUGAAGAACACAGACUCAUUCCUCGAACCCCAGGAGCCAAGAAGGGCCCCCCAGCCCCAAUAGAGAAUGAGGACUUCUGUGCUGUUUGCCUCAAUGGCGGAGAGUUACUGUGCUGUGACCGCUGCCCCAAAGUGUUCCACCUCUCCUGCCAUGUGCCAGCCUUGCUCAGCUUCCCAGGGGGAGAGUGGGUGUGUACCUUGUGCCGCAGCCUGACCCAGCCCGAGAUGGAGUACGACUGUGAGAAUGCCCGCUAUAACCAGCCUGGAAUGCGGGCAUCUCCUGGCCUAAGCAUGUAUGACCAGAAGAAGUGUGAGAAGCUGGUAUUGUCCUUGUGCUGCAAUAACCUCAGCCUGCCCUUCCAUGAACCUGUCAGCCCCCUGGCCCGGCAUUAUUACCAGAUUAUCAAGAGGCCCAUGGACCUGUCAAUCAUCCGGAGGAAGCUGCAAAAGAAGGACCCAGCUCACUAUACCACCCCAGAGGAGGUGGUAUCAGAUGUGCGCCUCAUGUUCUGGAACUGUGCUAAGUUCAAUUAUCCUGACUCCGAGGUUGCAGAGGCUGGCCGCUGCCUGGAAGUGUUCUUUGAGGGCUGGUUGAAGGAGAUCUACCCGGAGAAACGGUUUGCCCAGCCAAGGCAGGAGGACUCAGACUCCGAGGAGGUGUCUAGUGAGAGUGGAUGUUCCACUCCCCAGGGCUUCCCGUGGCCUCCCUACAUGCAGGAGGGCAUCCAACCCAAGAGGCGGCGACGACAUAUGGAGAAUGAAAGAGCAAAAAGAAUGUCAUUUCGCCUGGCCAACAGCAUCUCUCAGGUGUGAGAGCCAAAAGGAGACUGGGCACUCUGGCAGCUGUUGUCCCAUACUGUCGACCAUUCCUCCCCAUCUUGCAGCUUAUCCUCUUCAGAGUGUGGAUGGUAGAUGAGUCUUGUUGAACUGUGUAGUGCUCUUCUUUGCCAUUUGCAUCUACAGCAUUUAUUUGGGAGCCGUAGUACAUCCACUACAGAGAAGAUUUCAGUAAUAAACAGGAAAGAGGAAGGUAUUUAUUAUUACCAGAGUAAUCAGAUGUAUAGGCUCCACUUGACAAGACCACACCUGGUUAGGCUUGGGAAGACCUACUUUCCUUGGUGAAUUUUUUUCUGCCUGGGAAAGCAGACCCGUCUAACCUUUUAGUGUCCAGGGCUCAGGAGCCAUGUAUACAUCUGAACUCCUCCUGGGCUCAGAAGUGGGUAAAAGAAGGGAGAGAGGUUUAGACAUAUGGCAGGACUGUGAUCCCUGGCCCAGCACAGCCAAAGACUGUCACUGUUUGCCUUUGCUUGUCCUGUCUGGAUAGAGGCACCUGCCAUGUGCAGACUAGUGGAGGCUUCUAGAGGCCAUAGGUCUCAAUUUGUGCCUAUUUGGGUUCUAACGGUUUUCAGGGUAUUUGUUUUGCAUAGUCACUUUCCUGAUGUUGACAUAGGUGGCUGCUGUGAAAAUGCUGUGGAUGGUGUGACAUUCUUGACUGAGCUGGGUGGCUGUGGAGAGACCACUUAAAUCUUCUGGUUCAGAUUUCACUUACAGACUUAGUAAGAUGUCCACUUCAGAGCCCGCCGUCUGUGCUACUUACUCUGGGCUAAUCACACUUCUUUAGGGUGAGAACCUGCCUUCCUAGAAGUGACUGUUGGUGCUUGUCAGUGGCCAUACCCUUCAUCAUCCUCAUUCAGAGGUAUGGAUCGUGAGUUCUGCUUGUGAAUACUGUGAGACAGCUGCUGUCUGCUUCAGGUCCAGAGUUCCAUGGGUGGAGAGAGUAACCCACAACCAGCUCACUCCUCUGGGCCUCUCCUCCUGCUUAAAGAUUCUAGUUCUCAACCUCUCCAAGUUCAUGAGCCAAAGAUCAGAAGUGAGUCUUCUGACCAGCCCGCCUCCAGGCUGUCUACAGCCCCAAAAAAGCCAACACUUUUCUGGCAGCCCUUUUUGUUGGAGGUUAGAGAAGGCCUCAGGGACCAACAGGGGCCAGAUCUAGACAUUCCUGGGGGAAGUUUGUCUAAGGUGGACAGGGGGAAAAAUCAAGAGGCAAAAAGCCAGUGUCCUUUGGUGACCGUGAAGCAACCUCAGAGCCUUAGUUCUCCUAGAAUGCAGAGAGAAGCAUUCUGGAAGCCAUGGGAACAGGAGCUCGAGGCUGCAUGCUGAAUGCAUCUGCAUGGCCCUCGCAGGGUGUUUGUGAGGAUACUGGAGGUCAGGCUACCUCCCAAGCAAGGGCUUGGUUGAGAAGGAACCCAUUGCUCAUAUUUUUUGGGGAGCUAUGAACCUGACAUGUCAGUGGCCAGGACUGAGACAGCUCUCCCUGGUCCUGUCAUUGCAUGGCUAAUUUCAGGGGAGUCUGAGGUCAUGGCUUUAUUUUUGCUAAGAGAUGAAGUUCAAGGAUGUUCUUGUUUGUAGGGCCUUUGCUAAUGAGCAGUUUUUUAAUUAGAAAACAUUUCUUCUCUCUUUGUGAGUUGAUGGUAUUGCUCAUUUCCUUCUCUACCCAACCUGAGAGAUCAUCUUCACUUUAAAGCAAACCAUGCCCCUUGGCUUGCCAUUCUUUCAGCAGCACAUGCCACGUUCUAAGCAGAUGGGCUUCCGUGAUCCCAUUUUCUAGUUUGGGGUAACUGAGUCUUGAAUGCUUUACUAGUCCAGCAAUCUUUGGACUUAGGCUUCUGCCCUUUGAGACUCACAUGACUUUCUGGUUUGGGGUCUGGUCAUUUCCCUUUCAAUUUUUGAAUCUCCUUCUCUGUUCAGUUGGCUUGGCAAAGUACCCUCUGUUCUCAUGUCACUAAUUCCUGCUCUAGGUCAUCUUUCCUUUGUGCAGCCCACAUUUCCACCAUCCCUGUGAACUUUGUUGUACUUGGUGUUGGGCAACUGGUGAGUGUUGUGACGGGCUCAGACCUGAUCCUUCCUCAGGAGCAAUUGGAGACCACAAAUUUAAAGCAGAAAUACCUGUUAAAAGCUUGGCUUUCCUUAUAUGAGUGAGGCUCCCAGCUUGGGUGUGGCCUCCUGGGCUCACGGAUCAGCUUGCUGGGCCAGGGGGGGUCUUAGUAAUGUGCUAGAGAGACACAUGCUCCCUUCUCAUCAUAGAGAGCCUGCAUGCUGAGAGGCUCCCUUUAGACACCUGCCUCUCGCUGGCUUUUCCUUUAGACCUAGCCACCAGUGUUUUGAAUCAUGGUUUUGUUUUGUUUUUGCAUGCAAAAACCAGAACAUGACUUAGAAAUU
rnacentral:sRNA from 1 species